AUACGGAGGGUGCAAGCGUUAAUCGGAAUUACUGGGCGUAAAGCGUGCGCAGGCGGUUUGUUAAGUCAGAUGUGAAAGCCCCGGGCUCAACCUGGGAACUGCAUUUGAAACUGGCAAACUAGAGUGUGUUAGAGGGAAGUGGAAUUCCUCAUGUAGCGGUGAAAUGCGUAGAUAUGAGGAGGAACACCAGUGGCGAAGGCGACUUCCUGGACCAACACUGACGCUCAUGUACGAAAGCGUGGGUAGCAAACAGAAUUAGAAACCCCAGUAGUCC
rnacentral:rRNA from 1 species